rnacentral:sRNA from 1 species
AGGCUUAUAAUUAGGCAGGCGUUGGAGCCAGCUGGAACCUUUUCCAGUUAGGCUCGGCUGGGCCAGUUGGCGUCGCGGUUGACGUGGGCUAACUACCUUCUCGUCGGUACUCUGGAGAAUGUGAAAAGGGUAUUGUUGAGAGAGUGUGUGUUUGGAGAGAUCCAGAAGGAGGUUUCGAAAGUUCGUUUGCACGGCGAAUUACUAAUUUAGAUCGUUUAAUUUUAUCAGCACAUUUCCUUGAUGGGAGAGUCAAAAGGUGAACUUUAUAAUAUCAUAUUGAGUAGUACGGAGUACAUAAUUUGCCAAUGUCUGAAUCAAUGAACUGUUGGAUGGAGCCUCCAUAAACAGCGUAGGUAUGUACAUUUGAAAUAAUAUACGGUGGACUCCUUUAGAAAGUGUCUAUAGAAAUGCGACGUCCUCCCA